CUGUAGUUCUGUGGUGUGGGGGACUCUGUCCUCCUGCUGUGGUUCUAUGUCUUUACACACACACUGUAAUAAAAGUCUCAUGGAAUGUAUACCGCGUUUAACGCAAUACAAUACAACUUUCAGCAACGGAUCUCUUGGCUCUCGCAUCGAUGAAGAACGCAGCGAAAUGCGAUAAUUAAUGUGAAUUGCAGAAUUCAGUGAAUCAUCGAAUCUUUGAACGCACCUUGCGCCCUUUGGCUAUUCCGAAGGGCAUGCCUGUUUGAGUAUCACGAACACCUCAACUCUCAUGGUUUGCCGUGAUAGCUUGGACUUUGGGGGUCUUGCUGGCCUAUGGUCAGCUCCUCUUAAAUGAAUCAGCUUGCCAGUGUUUGGUGGCAUCACAGGUGUGAUAACUAUCUACGCUUGUGGUUUUCCACCA
rnacentral:rRNA from 1 species